rnacentral:tRNA from 1 species
AGCCGUCUGGGUACAUAAGAACUGCUAAUUCCUUAUUACCAUGGUUCGAUUCCAUGGUCAGCUC